AAUUCGCCCUUAGAGUUUGAUCAUGGCUCAGAACGAACGCUGGCGGCAGGCUUAACACAUGCAAGUCGAGCGCAUCCUUCGGGGUGAGCGGCAGACGGGUGAGUAACGCGUGGGGAUGUGCCUGGUGGUACGGAACAACUUAGGGAAACUUGAGCUAAUACCGUAUAAGCCCUUUUGGGGAAAGAUUUAUCGCCACCAGAUCAACCCGCGUUGGAUUAGCUAGUUGGUGAGGUAACGGCUCACCAAGGCGACGAUCCAUAGCUGGUCUGAGAGGAUGAUCAGCCACACUGGGACUGAGACACGGCCCAGACUCCUACGGGAGGCAGCAGUGGGGAAUAUUGGACAAUGGGCGCAAGCCUGAUCCAGCCAUGCCGCGUGAGUGAUGAAGGCCUUAGGGUUGUAAAGCUCUUUCACUGGGGAAGAUAAUGACGGUACCCAGAGAAGAAGCCCCGGCUAACUUCGUGCCAGCAGCCGCGGUAAUACGAAGGGGGCUAGCGUUGUUCGGAAUCACUGGGCGUAAAGCGCACGUAGGCGGACUUUUAAGUCAGGGGUGAAAUCCCAAGGCUCAACCUUGGAACUGCCCUUGAUACUGGAAGUCUUGAGUUCGGGAGAGGUGAGUGGAACUGCGAGUGUAGAGGUGAAAUUCGUAGAUAUUCGCAAGAACACCAGUGGCGAAGGCGGCUCACUGGCCCGAUACUGACGCUGAAGUGCGAAAGCGUGGGGAGCAAACAGGAUUAGAUACCCUGGUAGUCCACGCCGUAAACGAUGGACGCUAGCCGUUGGCCAGCAUGCUGGUCAGUGACGCAGCUAACGCUUUAAGCGUCCCGCCUGGGGAGUACGGUCGCAGAUUAAAACUCAAGG
rnacentral:rRNA from 1 species